GAUGAAGAACGCAGCGAAAUGCGAUAAGUAAUGUGAAUUGCAGAAUUCCGUGAAUCAUCGAGUCUUUGAACGCACAUUGCGCCCCCUGGUAUUCCGGGGGGCAUGCCUGUCCGAGCGUCAUUGCUGCCCUCAAGCACGGCUUGUGUGUUGGGCCCCCGUCCCCGGUUUCCCCCGGGGACGGCCCGAAAGGCAGCGGCGGCACCGCGUCCGGUCCUCGAGCGUAUGGGGCUUUGUCACCCGCUCUGUAGGCCCGGCCGGCGCCAGCCGACACCCAACUUUAUUUCUAAGGUUGACCUCGGAUCAGGUAGGGAUACCCGCUGAACUUAAGCAUAUCAAUAAGCGGAGGA
rnacentral:misc_RNA from 1 species